GACGAACGCUGGCGGCGUGCCUAAUACAUGCAAGUAGAACGCACAGUUUAUACCGUAGCUUGCUACACCAUAAACUGUGAGUUGCGAACGGGUGAGUAACGCGUAGGUAACCUGCCUGGUAGCGGGGGAUAACUAUUGGAAACGAUAGCUAAUACCGCAUAAUAUUAAUUAUUGCAUGAUAAUUGAUUGAAAGAUGCAAUUGCAUCACUACCAGAUGGACCUGCGUUGUAUUAGCUAGUAGGUGAGGUAACGGCUCACCUAGGCGACGAUACAUAGCCGACCUGAGAGGGUGAUCGGCCACACUGGGACUGGGACACGGCCCAGACUCCUACGGGAGGCAGCAGUAGGGAAUCUUCGGCAAUGGACGAAAGUCUGACCGAGCAACGCCGCGUGAGUGAAGAAGGUUUUCGGAUCGUAAAGCUCUGUUGUAAGAGAAGAACGGGUGUGAGAGUGGAAAGUUCACACUGUGACGGUAUCCUACCAGAAAGGGACGGCUAACUACGUG
rnacentral:rRNA from 1 species